rnacentral:rRNA from 1 species
GAAUUGUUCGCAAUGGGCGCAAGCCUGACGACGCAACGCCGCGUGGAGGACGAAGAUCUUCGGGUCGUAAACUCCUUUCCAUCGAGACGAAUGGCCUCCGGGUGAAUAAUCCGGAGGAGUGACGGUACCGAGAGAAGCAGCCCCGGCCAACUCCGUGCCAGCAGCCGCGGUAAUACGGGGGGGGCAAGCGUUGUUCGGAAUUACUGGGCGUAAAGGGCUCGUAGGCGGCCAACUAAGUCAGACGUGAAAUCCCUCGGCUUAACCGGGGAACUGCGUCUGAUACUGGAUGGCUUGAGAUUGGGAGAGGGAUGCGGAAUUCCAGGUGUAGCGGUGAAAUGCGUAGAUAUCUGGAGGAACACCGGUGGCGAAGGCGGCAUCCUGGACCAACACUGACGCUGAGGAGCGAAAGCCAGGGGAGCAAACGGG